UUCCAGACUCCUACGGGAGGCAGCAGUGGGGAAUAUUGCACAAUGGGGGAAACCCUGAUGCAGCGACGCCGCGUGAGUGAAGAAGUAUUUCGGUAUGUAAAGCUCUAUCAGCAGGGAAGAAAAUGACGGUACCUGAUUAAGAAGCCCCGGCUAACUACGUGCCAGCAGCCGCGGUAAUACGUAGGGGGCAAGCGUUAUCCGGAUUUACUGGGUGUAAAGGGAGCGUAGACGGCAGCGCAAGUCUGAAGUGAAAUGCCGGGGCUUAACCCCGGAACUGCUUUGGAAACUGUGCAGCUAGAGUGCAGGAGAGGUAAGUGGAAUUCCUAGUGUAGCGGUGAAAUGCGUAGAUAUCAGGAGGAACACCGGCGGCGAAGGCGGCCUGCUGGACUGAAACUGACGUUGAGGCUCGAAAGCGUGGGGAGCAAACAGGAUUAGAUACCCGAGUACC
rnacentral:rRNA from 1 species